rnacentral:rRNA from 1 species
GACGAACGCUGGCGGCGUGCUUAACACAUGCAAGUCGAACGGAAAGGCCUGCUUUCCCUUGUGGAUUGCGGGUACUCGAGUGGCGAACGGGUGAGUAACACGUGAGUGAUCUGCCCCCAACUUGGGUAUAAGCCUGGGAAACUGGGUCUAAUUCCCGAUAGGACUGCAGGGUGGUGCCUGUUGUGGAAAUCGAUUUUCUAGUGGUUGGGGAUGAGCUCGCGGCCUAUCAGCUUGUUGGUGGGGUAAUGGCCUACCAAGGCGGCGACGGGUAGCCGGCCUGGGAGGGUGGACGGCCACAUUGGGACUGAGAUACGGGCCAGACUCCUACGGGAGGCAGCAGUGGGGAAUAUUGAACAAUGGGCGGAAGCCUGAGGCAGCGACGCCGCGUGGGGGAUGACGGGCUUCGGGUUGUAAACUCCUUUCGACCGAGAGGAAGCCACCUGGUUGGAAGGGUGGUGACGGUAGUGGUAGAAGAAGCACCGGCUAACUACGUG